GGAGGCAGCUAACCACGGUAGGGUCAGCGACUGGGGUGAAGUCGUAACAAGGUAGCCGUAGGGGAACCUGCGGCUGGAUCACCUCCUUUCUAAGGAAGCUGUGGAAUUGGUAAGACGAUCUUCCGACAAGUCUUUGACUUGUCUCGAGAUAUGAACCUUCCCGUGCUUUUUAGAACAUAGAUGGCACCAGUCAGGUGACCAUCGAAACGUAAUACGCCGCGAUGACUUCGGUCACGACGGUAUGGCGAGCUUUCGCCGUCCACGUUUCUCUUUCUUCAAGAAGACAAAAAACCGCGUCGACCGGUUCCCCGAAUGGGCCCGUAGCUCAGUUGGUUAGAGCACACGCUUGAUAAGCGUGGGGUCGGAAGUUCAAGUCUUCCCGGGCCCACCAUUUGCAUUUGCGGAUGAGGGUUAGGGAUGAUGGAAUGUCAGGCGAUGCGGAUUGUUGCCGAACCUUGGGGUCUUGCCCCUGGGUGAUCGAGCUGGAGGGGCUGUAGCUCAGCUGGGAGAGCACCUGCUUUGCAAGCAGGGGGUCAGCGGUUCGAUCCCGCUCAGCUCCACCAAAUCGAUUGGUGUUGAAGCUGACGGCAUUUGUCUUUUGAAGAAAAUAAGGUUUUGCAUCGGUUUAGGCUGAUGCGUGUUCUGCAUACAUUGUGAAGAGAAGAUUGAUCUGGAGGCUUCCAGGUGUUGUGGGUUUUACCCAUGAUGUCCGAGCCCAGUUCCUGUGAAACCAUGGAUGGCCUAGCCGGCCGGAUAUGGUGGAGGGAUUGGAGGUAGGUAGGAAGCUUGUCACUCUGGAUCGUUUGUUGUUCGUUGCCUUCGGGCAUCGUCUGAUGAACGAUCGGAUUACCGUUGCCUGACCGCGCGGUAUCGGAUCCAAUCUCGAGAAGCUGGUCUUAAGACAGGCUGCAAGCGAGCUGCUCGGCGUAGCUCCAAUAAAGCAGACCUGUCGAACACGUUAAUGGCAUUGUUGGAUUGACUGGGUUGUAAAAGGUAACCCGGUCUGUUGCCGUUCCUUCGGAACGAGCAACGAGACGAUGAGCAUUGGCAAUGAGAACGAUUAAUUGUCGUAAGGGCAUUUGGUGGAUGCCUUGGCAUGC
rnacentral:misc_RNA from 1 species